GCUGGGCGUGGUGGCGCGCACCUGUAAUCCCAGCUACUCGGGAGGCUGAGGCAGGAGAAUUGCUUGAACCCAGGAGAUGGAGGUUGCAGUGAGCCAAUACAGUGCCACUGCACUCCAGCCUGGGUGACAGAGUGAGACUCUGCCUCAA
rnacentral:SRP_RNA from 2 species